rnacentral:rRNA from 1 species
GACAGAGGAUGCUAGCGUUGUCCGGAAUCAUUGGGCGUAAAGCGCGUGUAGGCGGUCCGGUAAGUCCGCUGUGAAAGUCGGGGGCUCAACCCUCGGAUGCCGGUGGAUACUGUCGGGCUUGAGUACGGAAGAGGCGAGUGGAAUUCCUGGUGUAGCGGUGAAAUGCGCAGAUAUCAGGAGGAACACCAAUUGCGAAGGCAGCUCGCUGGGACGUUACUGACGCUGAGACGCGAAAGCGUGGGGAGCAAACAGG